UUUUUUUUCAAUUUGUUGGCACAUUGGAUCUUAAUUUAGUUUUAGUUGUAGUUUAAUUUUGGGUUUUGGUUGAUUUGAGUGAGGUAUUUUUGGUUUAGAGGAUGAAGGAGAAAAAGACGAGGACAAGUUAGUCAUUUCACUUGGACUUCACGGACAUUUUGCAACACCAUCAGCAGUUCAGUACCACGGACAAACCUUACAACAAAACUAUACUUUUUUGACCACUUGUGCAACAAAUGAAAUAUCUAGAUGAAAACCAUAACUUUUGAAAUAUCAAAAGGACGAAAUACUAUUGUCUGUCCCCUGGGGUAUCCAAAAAAUAUCAUUUUCCAGGUAAAUACUCUGCAACAUGAAAUUGCAAUAAAUAUAAUAUGUGGGUCAGGGUGAUAGAAGUUGGAGGGCAAAAAAGACAUUUACAUGUCACUGGUUUUUGAUAGUCAUGUACUCUGAUGUUAACUAAGACAACAUACUGCCUCUCCUCUCUGUGUAUGUUGAAUCAUAUGAAUAAGAUCCCAUGAAAAAUGGCCAAACCUAGAAUAACAUGUCAUUAACAGAUUUAGUUAAAACUAGCCAAAAGGGUAAAUGUGUAAAUUGUACCAAAAUAUAAAAGCCUCUUUUUCGCAAGUGUUCCACUCCCUCAUCGAAUAUUCACUUUUUUAAUGCAUCUGGAUCCGUGACUCAGCCUUCAUAAUCCAAAAAGCUUGACCUCUGAAUAACAAAAGAGCAACUUGCUUAUUCUGUUUACAUUGAAUAUAGACAAUGCACUAUUUUUUUACCAAAAAGAGCAGCGUACUUACAUUUCUUUACCAAUAGAAGCAAUGUAUUUAUACUUUGUUCUUUAUCCAUAAUAGCAGCAUACUUAUAUACUUUUACCUGUAAUAGCAACAUAUUUUUAUUUCCCUACUAAAAUGAGCAAAAUGUACUUUAAUUGGUAAAGAGAUCCAAGUAUGUUGCCAUUUUUAUAAAUUUAACAUCUAGGUGACUACCAAACUUGUUUUGAAACCAUGAAAUAAGUAGCAAAAAUUCAGAAAAGUAUAUGUUACUACUAUAAUAAACAAUCUAAUAGAACAUAAAUACAUUACAAAAAACUAAAACAGUACUGUAGAGGAAUAGGACAUUUCCAUAAAUUUGUUGAUCAACUUCAAAUAUUUUGAAUAUAAAAUGCUAUAAAUGUUAACCAAAAUGAAACAAGUUCAGAUUUUCAAAAUACUUAGAUUUUUAAAACGCAAUGUCUUAAUAGGUAAAUAAUUAAAUGUACAAUGUCUUAAUAGAAAAACAGUAGAAAGUACUAUAAUUGGCAACCGGAAUCAAACAAACUUAAUAUUUUGAAGGCAAAAGGUCUUGUGUUAGACUAUUGAUUGCAUUUACGAUUUAAUAUUAAGUAUUUUUUUAUUAGUACCCUAUUAGACAUCUUAGAUGUAUAUUAAGUAAUCAGCGAAGUAGAAUUUGGUUUCUUACCUUGGCAUAUCAUAUAUGGUCAUUUAUUUUUUUUUUUUUUUUUUUUUUUUUUUUUUUUUUUUUUUUUUUUUUUUUUUUUUUUUCUAGAUUUCUAUAUGCUCUUCUUGACUGCUCCAGUUAUCCUAUCAAAUAACCACAAAUUAGUAAUUGAAAUACAUAUUUUAAGAUUUGUUAGACAGCUUACAAUCUUCAGAAAUUCAUAUAACAUGGGGAAGAAUCUAUGUGUUGAUAAAUGUCGCAGAUUAGAUUAGAUGACCCUAAUAAUAAUCCGUGAUGACAAUGUUUGUUGUUAACCAAAACUACACUAAGAUUAAAAUCAAGUAAAAAUGAUAAUAGAACAUCAAUACAUGAUUUAACUUGAUAAACAAACCAACAAACUACAUUAUGUUAAACAGAACACAUUCAGACCAUGACUAAUCCAAGAUUUUGACCACAGUUAUUUUAUUAGUAAAAUGCAAAUCAAUGAAACAGAAACAAGAAAAAAAAAUUAAGUGCUGGAGUCUUCCAUGAUCACAUACCACAAAAAGAGAUUUGACUAGAACAUUGUGAUCUGACAGAAUCUGAAAUACAUUCUUAAACGAUAUAAUUUCUUGUCUUGUCAUUUUCUUUCUCCAAGGAUUGAUAUAAUUUCUUUGGAUUAUAGAGAUGUUUGGAGAGCGUGAUGGAUUUAUAUAAAAACUCAUUUACAGAGCAUACCUUUAAAUCUAAUUGCAAUUUCCUUCACCAUUGUAUCUUUCAAGAAGUACUUUAAACAUUAAUUUAUUACAUCUUACCUAUCAAUAAAUAAUCUUUAAUCGGCCUUCUACUUGUCUCCUGAAAAAAUCUUAUAAAUGUUAGUCAUAAAAAUCAACUCCAGGUUAAUUUAUUUUAAUGCAUGCCACAGGAAGAAGAGAAGAGAAAGGAAGGAUUAUUAUUGUUUUUCAAAGUACGAUGUCUAAAUAAGAAAAAGUUGUACGUACAAGACUGUAAUAUAAAGGAAUAAAACUAGGAUGCUAUAAAUAGCCUGAAGGUGAAAUCCAUAAAGGAAGCAUGUGUUUCAUUUCUGCCAAUAUCUUAAGUUGCUAUGUAUUGCAUGUAAUUAUGAAAUUCAAAUACAUAUCAUAAUAAACUUGAUAACUAAGGAAUGAAAAAACCUCUCUGAUGAUCCAUCGUGGACCAAAAGAAAAAAAAAGAUCCACAAACAUGUUGAUACCUAGGAUCCAUGUCAGUUGAAGAAGAAACAAAAAGGCUUGCACAUUCAUUAUAAUCAAAGACUUACAUGUAACUAACUUAAAUGGGAGAAUGAGAAACAAUGCACUUUACAUGUAACUAACAGGAUGAUCAAAGGCUUCAUGGUCUGAAAAGGAUACACAUACACAUAUGCUGCAUACAAGUUCAACUUCUUUAUUGAAAAACUGGAACCUUGUUUGUACAAAAUCAGGUUGACAACCUGCAGGGGAAACUAAUUAAAUAAUGUUAAAAGGAUAAAAUUUUAAAUCUUACAACUAUGUGUAACUUUUAUGCAGUAUAAGUGCAAAGGUAGGUGAAAAGCUCCUUUGUCACCUACUUAAUUGAAAAAAAAAAACAUUUCUCAGAAAAACCUACUAACAUUAAAUGGCUAAAUUGGCUAGUAAACAAGUUACUUAAUUGGAAAGCAUUGUAACAUGUGAUGAAUGUUGUGAGCAUCUAAACAGAUAAAUUUAUACCUUAGCAUUUUGCUGUCAAAAAUCUGAUGCAUACAACAUUCACAAUUUGAACUUCUAUAGCCUGUAGGGGCAAAGUCAUGUAUAAUUAGUUUCUUGUCUAACAAAAUUUGCAACUAUUAAAUGUUAAAAAAAGGUACAUGAAUGCCAUGAUCAAACUUUCAUAUAUAAGAAGCCAAAACAUUUUCAAUAUGACCAAAAAUCAAAAAAUCAAAAUCCAAAAUUUACAAAACAUGGAAGAAUCUGAACAAAACCUUAGAAACAGGGCAAAGCUUAAGAGAAAUGACCAUAACCAAAGCCACUUGUCCAUUUUUUUUUGCAUGAUAAAUGAAAAGGUUGCUAUUACAACAAUACUGUAAUAAAAAGAAAUGAAACUAGGGUGAUAUAAGACACAAAUAAAUGAAAGUAAGUUCCAUGACAUCAGGAGACAAGGGUGAUGCACCUGAAACCAUAAAAGCAAGUUGGUCUUUUAUUUUGUUAAAUACUAAUCUGUCCCACAUAGCAUAGGAGAUGCACUCUUGCCUGAAAGAUAUAAUAUAUUCUUUAAAGUAUGGAAAGCUAAAAGGCUCCCUUGUGAUGAUUUUUUUUUAUAAAUAGUUACCUUUAAGUAAUGCUUGCCUCCUCGCAUUAAAUGCAAUCUUUCUCUAUGACCACCAGAUGACAUCACUGCAUUCAUAACACUGAAAUAACCACACACCUAACUGAGCAUCAAUAAGCCAUACCAAAUUGAAAAAUACAAUAAAUUUAUCAUACCCAUCAUAUCAUAUACUCUGUUACAUAACCGUGGAACACUUCAGAGCAUAAGAGGUCUCAAUUUCACCAUCAUCUCAUCCAUCAAUUUUAAGUUGUUCUACAUGAAUGAAAAUACAUUGCCCAUUAAGUCAAAAAGAAACAACAGUUUUAUCAUGAUGUGAUUAAGUACAAUAAGGAAAUCAUUAUCAUGAACUUAAUUCAGACAGAACAUGAAAUUUGAGUUUCUUAAAUACUAAUAGUAAAACAAAAUUAUCUAUUAAAAUAUUAAUAUAUGAUCAAGUAACAAAAAUUGCCACCAGAAAAAACAAGAUGAAAUCCAAACUUUUUUAAGAUGAUUGGUUUGAUUGAAAGAAAAUGUAACAAUAAGAUGCUUGUUCAAGCAUAUCACAGCUGAAUGCAGAGGUUCCUGCAAAAAAAUGAUUUUCUUUUGUAAAGAAUUACCAGGCAUACGAAAUAAGUGUUGAAGGCAUUUUCCAUGCAAUAUUCAACAUCUCUUUUUUUUAUUGAUUCUACAUGAAGCAUGUUAAUCCCAUCAUUUCCUGAAGAUAAUACACACAAGCAUGAGUUUUAGGAACAUAGGUGAUGGCCAACGACUUUGUAUUUGGAUCAAAAGUUAAACCAAAAUUAAAACCAAAACAAAGUAAAACAGCAGCAACGCUCCUUCUGAGAUACAGUCGUCACCACCCAAAAGGAAUCGCCGGGCAAUCCAACUUGAAAUUCUCGAUACAGAUACACCACGAGAUUCUCAAAUCAGCCUCCAAGAUCACCUCCAAAUCCUGCCAAAAUUAGGAUAGCAAUGGAAAAUAAUCUCUAAACUUUGAGAAUUAAUUUUAAGGAAACCUCCAAAAAUUGCCUUCUUUCCAUUCAUCAUUCCUCCAUACAUACAGGGAAAAAAAGGAAAAACAAAACCCACCACCCACGUAGCUACAUUUAGGGAAAGUAAAUAACUGUUGUAGAGAAGCCAAAAUAAACUAAAAUAAUAAGGAAAAUAAAAUAACAUGGAAAUAAAACAAAGUACUCUUGACUGAUAUGUGGAGGAACACGUGGGGUAAAAUCUACAAUCAUGUGAUGGAAGGUUUUGAUUGAAUUAGGUUGACCCAUGUAUUCACGUGAUCGGGUUCUGGAGUCGGUUUCGGGUCUGUCAUAUUGGGCGGGUCUUUAGGAACUUGCCUAUCAAUAGGGGUAUUUCUGGAAAUACACAAACAGGGUCAUAGACUCAUAUCUUUUGUAAUCAGUGGAUAGAAGGCGGUAAUUUGAUAAAGCAAAGUUCAUAAUUUCGUAACAGAAAAGCAUAAUCACCCAACACCCUUAUUGGAACUAAAACUGUAUCUUUUAACAUUAACAGAAAAGCUAAAUAAGAACAUAAAAAGCAUCAAGUGUUAUAUUGUUUUAAGGGAAAAAACAUACAUGUUAAGAGUUUGAUUCUCAGGGGAUCUUCUUUACCUUUUCUCCACCAUAACCUCUUUAUUUCAAGACUUCCACCAGCAACAUUUGCAAUCAGGUUUCCACGGGAAACUACUACACCCUCCUUACCAUGUAGGAAAAGGAAUAAAGGUUAAGAAAAGAUUCAACUUUAGUAGACUUGAAAAGAAAAAAAAAGCACAAGUGAAUAAGAAAUAGAAACAUCUGGUUUCCACUUGUCUAACAUGUUGCAGCAAAAUCAUCUGGUUUUAAUGCACAAAAAAAGGUGAUGGUUGUUCCUUCACUAAAGCACCAACUCAUAUGCAAAAAAAUCAGCAAUCAAAUGGCAGAAAUCAUGAAGGAUUAACUCAAAUUAAAGAAGCUCAUGUUAUUGGAGAUAGAUGCAUAAGUCUGUUAUAAUGAAUAACAAGACAGAGAAUAUUUUUGAAAUUACAAUAUUCCAAACAAAAAGAAACAAAAGUAGGAUGUUAUAAUAAACAAAUCAACAAAACUAUGUUGCUAUUUCUCACAUUAACCCAAAAAAUAUAUGAUUGAAAUCAAAACACAAUCAACUUUCUUGAGAAAUCUGAUUGUCAUACAUCGAACCAUGAUCAUGGAAGUUUGUUUUCUUAAAAAGCAUGCUACUGAAACAUUAGAUGGAAAAUGGAUUAAAAAUAUUUUACAAAAUGACCAACAAAAAUGGAUGCAAAAGACAUAAAACAUGAGAAUAUAUAACUGGAAUGCAGAAGCAAUUAGACUACCUGUGCAUUAUUAUUAGCCUCUUCUGUUAAUGAAACCAGAUAACAUAACAGGGCUUCUCUCCAAUGUCUUGAGCUGCACAUACCAUAACCUUUUUAUUUUUCAAAGAGACUAUUAAACAAUGAAAAGAGAGCACUUACAUUUGUUAAAUAAUUCUUUAGCUGGAUUUUGUGCUUAAUUCCAUCCAACAUAUAUGCAACAAAAUUAUUGCAUUGGCUUUGAUUGAUGACUAGAAGCCACAAUUUCCAUCAUACCACCUAUGUCAGAAUCAUUGAUAUUCGAUAAUGAAGUUUAUCCAUUAAUAGUAAAACAAAAUUAUCUAUAGAAGUAUUAAUAUAUGAUCCAGUAACAAAAAUUGCCACCACAAAGAAUGAGAUGAAAUCCAUACUUUCUUAGCAUAAUUGGUUUGGCAGAAAUAAAAGGUAAUAAUAAGAUGCUUGUUCAAGAAUAUCACACAGCUGAAUGACGAGGUUCCUGCAAAAAAAAAAAUUGAAGUUUUUUAGCAAUAUUCUCAUGUAUAAUAUUUUUAUUCACAAAAGAGAAUUGAUUAUUAGCUCAUCAGAGAUAUGAAAAUAGUACACACCAUCACCCUCUUUAUAUUGAACACUUGUCACCAUGUGGCAUUCUCUUCCCUGAUGUCCCAAUUCGAUAAAUAUAAGCACACCUUUUUAAAUAGAUAAAAGAACUGACUAAAUAACAAAUAUCUUGUGUAAAAAAACUACCAGGAAAACUAAAAAAGCGUUGAAGGCGUUUUCCAUAAAUUUAUACUCUGUUACAUAAUCCUGGAACACUGGCAUAAUACAAUAGGUCUCAGUUAUGCCAUGUCAUCCAACAAAUUCAAUACAGUGUAAAGUUUUAAUUUGUUCCCCAUUAAUUCAAAUAGAAACAACAGUUUUGCCAUGAUGUGAUCAAGUACAAUAAAGUUAUCAUUAUCAUGAACAUAAAGUUUGAGUUUCUUACUCCAACUGAGCCACCAUAGUUUGCCAAUAUGAUCUGGUUGGACUUUUCAUAAUUUGUUGGUGUGCCAAAGGAAGAUAAGAUUUAUGUAACUGAAAUAAAGCAUGGGGAACAAAUUAAUGGUGACACAAUUGGCAUUUACUUACACAUCUGAUGGAUGGAACUUAAUUAAUGUGAAUGUGACUCAACAAAAGGUUUUGAAGUUACCUGAGCAAUAAGUUUAGAAAAUCAUACACUUAACCUUUAACCCCACCCAGUUGUUGAUGGAAGAGAUGGGAUCAAGCUCAUCUAUCCUUUCAACCACCUAUAAUAUUAUAUUAUCAUUCAAUAUGAGAAUUUGAAGGUUGUAGCAUCAUUUCAGUAAAGAAUCUUAUUAGUGCAAUUCAUAAGAUAUGAAACAAAUGAUUNAUAUAUAUAUAUUAUAUUAUCAGUCAAUAUGAGUUCUUGAAGGUUGUAGCUUCAUUUCAAUAAAGAAUCUUAAAGAAAUGAACCAAAUGAUUAACUAUCAAAACAACAGAAGUUAUCAAUUAAGUGACUUCAUAACAAAUCAAGAACAAAUGAAGAACAGGAAAGAUAUAGCAAUUCGAGAUGCUAUGGUCUCACAAAAGAAGAAGAAACUUCUAAAAUAUUCUGCCUGCCUUUCUAACAAAGGCCCUCCCAUAUUAUAUAACCUAAAAUGACAGAGGAUCUGCCUUAAUUCCCAAAAUGCCCCUGCUGUCCUGCUAACUUUGUAGUUCCCUCGUGGUUGUCUGUGGUCCCCUCUCCCAUUGGAAUCUUUUGUCUCUGAUAGGUGAAUUGCAAGGGUGGAUGCACAAUAGUUAUCAAUGACAAAAAGAUCAGCAACUGAAAUGUCAAAGUGAUUGAUUAGCAACUAAUAAAAAAUUUAACCUUUUGCAAAUGGCAAUGUCUGUGUGGCACACAAAAUAUGGCUUCUACAGAAAGAGCAUUUCUGUAUGCAAGAAUGGCAUGUUUUAUCCUAUACAAAAAGACACAACUUUUCAGAAGAAUAUAGACCACAAAAACUUAGAGAGCAGAGUAAAAUAUACAUUCGGUCCCUGAUUGUAUACCUAAUUUAUCAAUUUGGGUCCUUAUUUGAGGUUCUUGUAACAUUUCUGGUCCCUGUUCCAAGUAAUUUGGCUAUUUUUUUUUUUUUGCAGAUUUGUUCCCAAAAUUAUUGUCAUUUUACUAGAAACAAAGAUCAAAAAAGUUAUAAACCUCAAAAAAGAACCAAAAUUAAAAAAAAAAAAAUCAGCUACAUUCAGCGACCAAAAUUUAAAAAAUACUUAAAAAAAAGAUAGAUAAAUCAUUUAUAUACUGUAUUUAAUUAUUGUUACAAAAUCAUUGAUAUUCAAUAAUGAAAAUUAUCUAUUAAAAUAUUAAUAUAGGAUCAAGUAACAAAAAUUGCCACCAAAAAAACGAGAUGAAAUCCAAACUUUUUUAAGAUGAUUGGUUUGGUUGAAAGAAAAUGUAACAAUAAGAUGCUUGUUUAACAAUAUUCUCAUAUAUAAUAUUUUUAAUCACAAAAGAGAAUUGAUUAUUACCUCAUCAGUUAUACAACGGUAAAAACUGACAUCUUCUUUAUACUGACCACUUGUUAUUAAUAUUUCAACCCACAAAAGACCACACGAUGUGGCAUUUCUCUUCCCUGAUAUCCUAAUUUGCCAAAUAAAAGCACAUUUUUAAAAAAAUAAAAAAUAAAAGAAUCAACCAAAUAACAAGAAUCUUUUGUAACAAAUUACUAGGCGUACUCUGUUACAUUAUCCUGGAACGCUAUAGAAUAUAUAGUAGGUCUCAGUUAUGCCAUGUCAUCCAACAACUUCAAGUUAUCCUACACGAAUGAAAAUACAGUAAUCAAGUAAUAAAGAAACAUCAGUUUUGCCAUUAUGUGAUUAAGUACAAUAAAAAAAAUCAUUAUCAUGAACUUAAUUCGGAAAAAACAUAACAUUUUUGUUUCUUACUCUUUGAUAAAAUCCAGCUGAGCCACCAACCAUAGUAUGCCAAUAUGAUCCGGUUGGACCUUUCAUAAAUGUGUGCCAAAGGAAGAUAAGAUACAUAUAACUGAAAUAAGCAUGGGCAAUAAAUAUUACAACAAAAUAAUGUUGAAACAAUUGGCAAAUACUUAAUUUCAGGACUUCCACUAGAAAAAAACCAUUUACAAUCGGGCUUCCAUGGGAAACUAUAGUCCCCUUCAUUAGGUAAAAAAUAAUUAAAAUUAUAACGCUAUAACUUAAAAUAUAAUGCUAUGAUUGAUUAAAGUUUCAAAAAGCAAAGCAAUUUCACCGCUUCAUUAGGUAAAAAAUUUAGAGUAUAAUGUCAUAAUAAGCAAAAAAAAUGGAAGUACGAUGCUAUAAAUGGGUGGAUUAUUAAAAGUAUCAUUUCACAAUAAGAAAACACUUGGAAGUACAAUGGUAUGUAUAAUGGGGUAGAACUUUCAAAGCAAUAAGAAAAAAAAAAUGAAAGUACAAGGCUAUAAUUAGGUAGACAUCUAAAUGUAUAUAUAAUGUCCUAUUAAAGAAAAAAAUUCUAUUUUAGUAGACUUGAACAGAAAAGAAAAAAAAAAGCACAAGUGAAUUAAGAGAUAGAAACCUUUAUCCUAUCAAAUAACCACAAAUUAGCUAUAACAAUGUACUUUCUUACCUUUGCAUCAUACAUGGUCAUUUAGUUUUUUUUUUAUUUCUAGAUUUCUAUAUGCUCUUCUUGACUGCUCCAGUUAUCCUAUCAAAUAACCACAAAUUAGUAUAUGAAAUACAUAAAUUAAGAUUCGCUUACAUUCUUCAGAAAUUCAUAUAACAUGGGGAAGAAUCUAUGUGUUGAUAAGUGUCGCAGAUUAGAUUAGAUGACCCUAAUAAUAACCCAUGAUGACAAUGUUUUUGUUGUUAGCCAAAGCUACAAUUAGAUUAGAAUCGAGUAAAAAUGUUAAUAGACAAUCAUUACAUGAUUUAACUUCAUAAACAAACCAACAAAAAACAACAAUGUGUUAAACCUAACACAAUUAGUAAAACGCAAAUCAAUGAAAGAGAAACAAGAAAGAGCAUUAUUAGGUGCUGGAUUCUUUCAUGAUCACAUACCCACAGAAAGAGAUUUGACCAGAGCAUCAUGAUAUUCAUAAAAAGGCUGACAGAAUCAAACUUGCAAUUUUGUCUCUAAAUCUAGUUGCAAUUUCCUUCACCAUUGUAUUUGUAUCUUUCAAGUUUUACUUUAAAGAUUAGUUUAUUAUAUCUUACCCAUGAAUAUAAUCUUUAAGCCGCCUCCAUGUAUGAAGCCAAACCAUGCAUCCUUCUUCUUCAUCAAUUACACAAAAUCUUAGAAAUGUUAAUUAUAAAAUUGCAAUUUUGAAUUUGUGUCCCAUUGACAUCAGUCUAAUGCAUGCCAAAAGCAGAAGAGAAGAGACUAAGGAUUAUUAUAUUUAUACAUAACAUACGUUUGCACUUCAUCUUUGUAGUAGCCUUGGAACACACACAAAUUACACCAACAGGAUAUGAUGGUUGAUCAUCGGACGUAUAUUUCAUCUCAGGAACAUCCACAUCUGAAACAGGAACAUCAUUCAUUAAUAUUGGUUUAAAUGCAAGAAAUACUAAAGUAGUUUCAUUUUUCCUAUUAUAGAAUUGUGCUUGAAAAAAUCUACCCAGUUAUAGCAAUGUCAUAGAGUAAGUUAAUCCCAUCAUUUCUUAGAGAUAAUACACAAGCAUGACUGCAUGAGUUUUAGGAACAUAGGGGUAUUUCUGGAAAUACACAAACAGGGUCAUAGACUCAUAUCUUUUGUAAUCAGUGGAUAGAAGACAGUAAUUUGAUAAAGCAAGUUCUCAUAAUCUCGUAACAGAAAGGCAUAACCACCCAACACCCUUACUUGAGAUUCAAUGCAAAGCUAAAUAAGAACAUAAAAAGCAACAAGUGUUUUAUAGUUUUAAGGGUAAAAACAUACAUGUUCACACUUUGAUUCUCAGGGGAUCUUCUUUACCUUUUCUCCACCAUAACAUAAGCUCUUUAUUUGGUUUCUAAAACCUUUUCUUGUUGCAGAGUAAUGAAUGGAAUUUGUCAAACAAGUUGAAAUUAAGAAUAACAAUCAGUCUCGGAGUAAUGUAGGGAAGUGGUUCACAAAAUACUUUUGAAAUGAAUGGAAUUUGUCAAAUGAAUUGGUAUUUGUCAUGUGUAUGAUUGACAGGAAAUGGAAAGGAUUUCUGUUAAUGAGAAUAACUGGAAUGCAGAUGCAAUUACGCUACCUGUGCAUUAUUAUUAGCCUCUUCUGUUAAUGAAACCAGAUAACAUAACAGGGCUUGUCUCCAAUGUCUUGAGCUGCACAUACCAUAACCUUUUUAUUUUUCAAAGAUAUUAUUAAACAAUGAAAAGAGAGCACUUACAAUAUUCUCAUAUAUAAUGAUUUUAUUCACCAAAGAGACUUGAUUAUCACCCCAUCAAAUAUAUAAAAGUAAACAUCAGCAUCAUUAAGAAGAAGAAGCAGGGGUAAAUGAUUCAUGUUAAAAAGAUCCACAAACUUGUUGAUACCUAGGAUCCAUGUCAGUUGAAGAAACAACAAAAAAGCCUGCACAUUCAUUUGGAUAUUAAACAAGUUACUUAAUAGGAAAGGAAAACAUUAUAACAUGUGAUGAAUGUUGUGAACAUCUAUAAACAGAUUUGGUUGUGGAAGUGGAACAUCUCAUGUAUUUUAAUUUAAUUGGAAAGGAAACAUAACUUUAUUAAACAGAAACACACAACUUUAUAUGAAACUUUUAGUUAGAACCAAAGUACACUUAUAUUUCUAAUAGAGUUACAAACACAAACAAUAAAUUAUCUUUUCCCUAAUUGAAUUUCUAAUAACUCAAUAAGUUGUCUAAUAUUUUAAUUUGGUUUGUGAUUAUUUACUUCUCUCUACAUAAUUUAAUCCAGCAACAUUUUUACCCUCAAAACAAAGCAAAACAACUCUUUAGGUUAAUUAAGACAUUUCAUCAAACACUUAAACUGCACAGAUAAACAAUACUUUUUUGAGUUUCAAAACUAUUUAAAUUUUACCGACAUCACCACUUGCUUGAGCAAAUCAUCUUCGUUUGAUGGAUGCUUUGGUUUCAAUUUGGCGACCUGAUUCAAAAAACCAUCGAAUCAAAAGAUAAAUGGAGAAAGAGAAAAAACCCAGAGAGGUCGUAGUGUUAAAUAAAGGCUGCAAUUAAGUAAAAUUAUGUCAUUAAUAUACCUUUUGUAUAGUGUUUGAUCCUUUUAGCGAUGAUGAAACAUGCUUAGAAGAAAAAAAUUAGUUUCAUGACGUAAAAAGUUGCCAUACACUUAGCCUAAAACACGUAUUGAAAAGAUACAAGUAAACACAAUACCUAGAAAUCAGCGGAAAAAGAUCCUUUUGUAUAGUGUUUGAUCUUUUUCUUGAUCGAUGAUGAUGGUAAACCAAACUGACCGAUGAAUCCAGUAAUGACAUGAAGAAUCUUCUUGGCCUAUUGAAAAUACCUAACAAAAACAAAAUCAAAAUCAAUAAUACACACAAAAAAAAAUCAAGAACUUUAACUAACAGACGAAGAGGGAAACACAGAGGAUUGUUGAACGCCGGAUAAUGAAAGAGAGAGAAAACGGUGGUGUCGCUAGAAGAAAAAGAGAAGAAGGUGGUGCCUACAAAUAAAACCCUCUUCUUCUUCUUUUCUUCUUCACUGAAACAUGUCUCUGGUUGUGUUUGGAGAGCAGCGGGAUGACUAUGAGUGACUGAAGAAGGUAUAAAUUAGGCGCCAAUACACACCGACCCAACCCUUUGGACUUCCUAAUUCCAACGGUUCUUUUAUAAAUCAUUUCCAAAAUUAAAACCUUUCCAAAAUUUGAAUGAGUAACAAAGAAAACCUUUCCACUUAUCUAUCUUAACCACGUAAUCCCUAACUUUUCAUUUUUACCAUUUUUAACCUAUAAAUUUAUCUUUUAUUGCAAAAUUGAUACCUUCUUCUUCCUGUUUUUAUUUUGACCUAGUUUUUUUUAUAAGUUUUAUUUCUAAUUUGUCCAAACUUCUUUUAGAAACUUUUACAAAUAUUUUUUAUAACUUUCUUUUUAAAUAUUUCUUAAAACUUAGUUUUUUUUUAUUAAUUUUGUUAUAAGUAUGAAAUCAUAUUUAUAAAAUUAGUUAUUUUAUUAAAACAAUUACUUAUGUUGUGUUGUAUGUUUUUUAAAUUCUUUUAUUAUUACAAAUUAAAAUUUUUAAUUUAUUUUUUGUAUUUAUAAAGGCUAUUUUUUACAACUUUUUUUUUUACUAUCUUUGUUUUUUUUUUAUCAAAUCGUUUUAUAAAAUUAGUUUUCUUUUAAAAAUAAUUUUUACAAAGAUUUAGAUUUUUCUUUUCAUGCAUUUAUUUUAAGAUUUUCCCUAUAUUUAAAAGGGGUAUCUUAAAUGUACCCCUGUGUGUGUGAGUGUAAUGUAUGUGUGUUGACCUUCACAUACACAUAUGUUUCAUCAUGUGGGGAUUUUUUAGCAACACCUAUAACAUGUAAAAGUUAUGUUCUUUUUAAUAUAUUUAUUUAAAAACAAUAAAAAAAAUACACCUUAAAGAGUGCACUUUUAUGCUAUAACUAAAUGUAACCCUAAACCCUAGAGAGUAAAUUAUGUCUUGUUUUUUGUACAUGUUAUAUUCUCCGCUACAUAUAUUCCGCUCCAUGUAUUUUCCUUUGUUUUACAAUUUUUGACUAAUUUCUUUUUCAAAAUUGGUCCAGAGUUUUUUUACAAAUUUUCCCUAACUUUUUUCUUUCAAUUAAUAACAUUUAUACAAAAGAAUUUAGCAUUUGAGAAAAGUUUGGACAUGUUUGAUAUUAAUGCACAAGUAUAGUAAUGCUAGUUACACUUAUUAUUAUACAAGCAACAUAUUAAAUCAUUUUUUUAUUCUUUUUUUUUUAGAACAGCUGAAUUUUAUUAAACUAACAAGAAGUUAUAACAAACAAUUACAUGAUAGUAUAAGAAGAAUUAUGAAGCCAAGUAGACCAAGUGAACUUAGCUUUGUUACAUCUAUUUGAAAUCUAAAAGAACGCCUUAUCAACAACAUCAUCAAAAAGCAAUGCCUUUUAGGGAUAACCAUUCCAAAAAUGGUAGCAUUUCUAAAAUUCCAAAUGCCUCAAACGUUGUCAUAACAACUGCAUCAAAAAGCUUAUGUUGACCUGCCCUCAAUGUGACUGCAUCAGAACAGAGAUAAGAGAGUGUACAGAAAUCUGAUAAGGAAGAUGUAAACCCCACCAAAUAGCAAUGUGUCUCCAUAUAUCCUGUUAAUACAUGAAAAGUGCCUCUUAGUCAAUCCAGCCUUUUGAGUAUUUCCGAAGUAGUCUAGACUUUAAGAUGAAUGUAUUUCUAACGUGUAUAGAUUUCCAAGAACUUGUUACUUUGGAAUCUGAUCAAUGUUGUAAUGCUCUAAAUUUUCAAAUAAAAAUUUCAUUUUUAAAACCACACAAAACAUAGUUUCAUAUUUCUCUAACCCAAGUUUAUAAGUUGUUCGAAACACAAGACAAUAUAAAUGUUUGACAAUAUCCCAGAAUCCUCAAAACAUAAUCUCUAGCUGGUGUGUACAAUCAUUUCGGCGCCUUCCCGCGAUCCUGAGAUGUACCUAAAACACAUUUCACACAACACUGUAAGCACAAAGCUUAGUGAGUUCCCCAAAAUACCACGCAUAAAUAAUUAGCCUCUCAUGGCUAUAUCUCAAUAAAGGACCCUCCGGUCAUGUGUCUCAGUGAAGACCUCCGGUCUCACAGCUCGGGUCGGACCCUCCAGUUCGGUAUCUCAGUGAAGACCCUUUAGUCUCACAACUCGGUUUAGACCCUCCGGUCCUAACUCAAUAAGACACAUAAAUAAUAUACAACAUAAAUCACAAAGACAAAAGGCAUGAUAUCACAUAACUCAGUAUAAGCACAUAAGACCCUCUGACCAAUAACUCAAAUAAGACCCUCCGGUCACAUAAUAUUACCACUCAGGUAAGUAUAGUGAGAAGACUCACCUCGUAAGUAAGCAAAUAUGUCUCGUACUUAAUGGUAGGUCUAGACUCUGUCUACAUAUAGCAUAAUCAUUUCUAAUUAACAAUUUAUAAUAACAACUCCAAAGAUGUUCGAUUGUUCAUUUACUAACUCUCGGAAAGGGUGAAAGACCAUUUUACCCCCUCCAUGGUCUCCUAAGUCUAUAACUUGACCAAACCCUAAAAGUCAACGAAAGUCAACCCUCAAGUCAACAGUCCAUGUUGAUUAGGUGCAAUUUGUGCACCUCUUAGUCACAUUUCAUUCAUCUAUUUAGCAUAAUUGUUCUUUCCUUUUUCUUGCAUUUCAUCAUAUUCAUGUUAGUCUCUAGAACAACCUUAUUUGCACACUUUUAUGUCUUUUUCAGGUAAACCGGAGGUUGGAACGCGCUUUGGGAAGUGUCGGGAAGCAUUGGUGAAGAUUUCGGGAUGAUCGGGCGAAGAACGAAAAAGUUGGAAAAAUCAAGUUUGGAAUUGGAGUCAGAGAGGUACACGGGGCGUGUUGAAUUUACACUGAAAAGUGGGCACGGGGCGUGUUUGACCAAAAUGGGAGCUGUUGACCAUGCUGAACACGGGGCGUGUCAGUUUAGUGCAAAUCAACACGGGGCGUGUUGCUGAACACGACCCGUGUCAGUUUAGCCUAUUUUAACACGGGCCGUGUUCGACCCAAAAACCAACUUUUGGCAGUUUUUCCUAUCUUUCAUAUUACGGGUUAAGAGUCAUUUUUACACACACACAACAUAUCAGAGCACCAUUGGAGAGGAGAAUUCGAAGGUUUUUGCAAGGGUUUUUCCGUCAAUCAUUUGGAAACAUUAAUUCUUGUUUUUGUAAGUUGUAAUUACACUUAAUUCCAUCUUUUAUACUUGUGAUCUUGUUCUAGCCAUGUGUGGCUAGAACCCUAGUUUCUCCAAUUUCAUGUUUUGACUUCUUGGUAGUGACUUCAAUCAUAUGACAUGAUGUUUGUUCUUAAUUUCUAUCUAAUGAAUUUGAUUUUGCUUCAAUCGAAUGUUUGAUUCUAAUUGUGAUUCUUAUUGGCCAUUUGAAUUAGGGUUAGGUCAUUCAAGUUAUCUCUUUUACAAAAUCUGUAAUUGUUUUGUGAAAUUGAACAAGUAACAAGCAUUAAAUUGAUCUCUAUUGAAUGAAUUUAGUGUAAAUCUUAUUCAUACACUUUUACACUCCCGAGCUUAUGAGGAGUAUUGGGUGUUGUUGGGAACAUACACAUAAAGCUUCAUGCAAUCUUAUAAUCUAAUUCUAAGAGCUUGUUUAGAUUAGGUUAAUAAGAUUAGGGUUAAUCAAAGAGCUUGUUUUGGUUAAUUAAUGUGGUGAAUGGGAAGUGUUAGAGCUUAUUAGCACUUUCAUGUACCAACUUAGAUAGAACUGAACGAAUAUUGUGUCAUCUUUGAGUCACACUGCUAAGUAGUUGUCAUACAUCAAGUUGGAGUCCUUACAAAAUCUGAAUUUAGUUCACUCAUUUAGCUGAUUGCGUGUGUUUUUAAUUUGUUUGUUUAGUCAUUGCACUCUACCCCCCCCCCUCCCUUUUUUACUGUUGGUGACCAUAGUACCUUGCACAAAGAGGUAUAGACUAAUUAUCCCGUGUCUCUGUGGAUCGACCCUACUUGCCUUGUACUACCUUUUAGUGUAAUAUAAUAGUGUUAUCUUGGAGUAUAUCGUACCCCUUUAUUUGUUGGGUCUGACACGCCUAACAUUGACCCAACUCGUCGAUUGUAUCUAUGCGACUCAUCGAGUUCCUUUGUUCUCUGAAAAAUCGGGAAAAUCCAACUCAACUCGCCGAGUUGUCUCAUCAAUUCGUCGAGUUUGCACACCGUCCACGAUAACGGGGGAAACCCUAACCAACUCGUCGAGUUGGCUAACCAACUCGUCGAGUUCCUUCAGGUCAAUGACUCAUUCAGACGCUUUUUAGUGAGAGUAAAGCCCCAAACUCUAGAUCUAGCCUCCUAAGGCUGAAAUACCACGUAAAGCUGCAAGCUUUACGUCCAUGCAUGGCAUCUAGGGCUAAGUUUGCCAAAACAAAGCUCAACAAACAGUUUAAGGCAUGGAAGUUGGCCAUAGCUUGAUAAAGCUUGAAUCUUUAGGCCUAAGGGACCUAGUAUUGUCCAUAUCUGAAGUCUUAGCUUCAAGGUAAGCUCAAAACCAAUAAGGACCCAAGGGAAAUGUUAAAAAUGGCCAUAACUCUCUAAUGGAGAGAUCUAACAAUCAAGUGAUCAAGUUAAUCGCUUUUUACCUCCAAAUGGCCUCUAACACUGAAAGAAUGUCGAAUCCAAGGACUCCUUCUCGUUCCAAGCCUUGUGUUCCUCAAGCUCCUUCAAAGAAUGCACCAAAACACACACUCUUAGCCUCUCUCUCUUAUAUGAUAAUAGCUCGAUUAAGGUUUCUCUCAGGGUGUUAAGGUGAUGAGGGAGGCGGGGUAAAGGACUUAAGGUCCUUUAAAUAAGGUGCAAACCCUGAAAAUUAGGGUUUUCACACUCAGCUCCUACUCGUCGAGUUGGGUCCUCCAACUCGUUGAGUUGACUCUAAAAACCACACAGCUAUCUCAAUCUCUACUCGACAAGUUGGGGACUCCAACUCAUCGAGUUUCCCUGCCAAAAUGAAUAUAAAACAAUUUAAAUUUGUACCUGGGAGUCGGGAUGUUACAAAUGUAUUCUGACAGAACUGAAAGUACCAGUUUGUUGUUUAAUGGUAGUAACGUAGUGUCGUACAUCCGACAAGAUCAACAGAAACGGUUGUGUCAGGUUGUUGAUCUUCAGUCCAUGUACACUUUCCAGAUAUUUGUCUUUUGCAACUCCUUUGCCUAUAAAAAGAGUGUCAACCUUUGUAAUAGAAAUAACUUUAAGGAACAACUUCACUUCUAUUAAAUCAAAGAAAUAUACUGUCAAUCAUUUCUCUCAAACAUUCUUCUUGUUCUUAUUUACUUUACAUUGUUUAUACUUUAUAUUAAUUAUCUUGAGCACUUUGUUGAGUUAUGUAUUUCAAGGCUUGACUGGUUUAUCUAGAUUUGAGUGGAUCUUUUAUUAUAAGCAAUCAUUGACGUUAGAUUAAUUCAAGGUUUGAGUUUUCAAACCUUGUCCAUGCAAAUAUUUAAACCUAUAAUUGGUAUCAGAGCCUAAGUGAUUGUCCUUUGAAUCCAUAAGAACAUAUUAUAGUUGGUUGAAGAUCACCUUUCUAUCUCAAUCAUUAUGUGUUCAGGAUAAAAGUUCUUUAUAUACCACUUCAGCUCUAAUAUUUAAACAUCAAUGGCUGCUUCUAAUCAAUCUCAACAAAUAUAUUCAAUGCAAACCGCAAAUAGCAUGGGUUGCCCAUCGCAUUUACCAUUGCUAGUUGUCAAAGAGUAUGAUCACUGGAAAGUCAGAAUGGAGAUAUUUUUGGUUGGCAAAGAAAAAGGUGAAGAGAUAUAGAGGUCGGUGAAAGAAGGUCCUCAUGUUCCUGUUAGGAAAAUGGUCAUAGAUGUUGUUGCUACUCUUAUGGGCCAAGAAGAGCUCUGGCCAACACCUCUAAUCGCAAAAGAUGUCGAGAAACUCCUUGCAUACCAAAUUGCUUUUUCCAAAAUGGUGUUUGGUGUUCCACCAUCUCUCCUUAAGCACCUUAACUUGUGUAAAUCCACCAAAUAUAUUUGGGAUACACUUCAAGACUUGUUUGAAGGAUCAGAAAAUAUGAAAGAGAAGCAUCUGACGCCUGUAGUAAACGACUUCGACACCUUCACUACCAUACAUGGUGAAUCCGUUGCCUCUACAUCAAAUAGGUACAUAAUCGUUGUGAAUAACAUGACUGCACAUGGUGUUGUUUGCACUCUGCUUGAGUACAAUCUGAAGUUUAUCAAUAGUCUCGGAAAAGGAUGGGGAAAUGUUAAAUAUUGUCUUUAGAGUAAUGGAUCUCUGAAGAAACUGAAGCUCUACCAACUGUUUGAUGAACUGCAAGGCCACAAAUAAUGUUGUUCAAACAAUGAGAGAACUCUCUGGAGGUCCUCCCGCUCUAGUCGGUUUGGUUAAUCCACUUAUUCAGAACCUAUUCGUCUCGGAUCCCUUCAGAGCUAUUGUGACAUCCUUAAUUUCAAGACUAUGAAAUACUGAUUUAUUUAUGCUUAUAUAAAAUCAGAGUAUCCUUUUUGAAAAAUAAUAUUGUGGAAUUUGUUCCCAAAAACAUGAUAAUGAUAUUAUCAAAACAUUUCCAAAGAAAUGUAUUUAUAUUAAAAAUGUUGGGAUGUCAUCAUGAAUACAAUACAUAAGCAUAAAUGGAAACAAUACAUGUCUUACAAACAUUUGUAAGGUCUAUAAUCUAUAAAUCUAUCAUCAAUCAUAACACCUGUGCUCUCGUGCCACUACCUGUGAUACAAGAAACUGAGUGGGUCUGGCUUGAUAGAUUGGUGAACACAUAGGAUUUUUAAUCCACAAAAUUAUAUUCUUUUAAUUAUAUAUUUUCAUCAAAGCAUUCAGCUUGAUUACCUAUUCCUGUUAUCCUCACUUUCUGUCCCUAAAACAUCUAAUUUUGGGUACCUAUUCUAAGGAUUAUAUUCGGAUAGACAAUAAUGUUGCGGGGGAUUCCUUAGCACUAUAUGUCAAUAAGGCGACCAUGGGGGGUGGAGUACACCUGGUGAACACUAAGUUCAAAAACACAUACAGGUUGCGAGCCUACUAGCGUUCCACUGGACUGUCUAGAAUAGACGGUGGUCGUCAUCUAUACUCCAUUAAACGCCUAGAUCAUCUUUAAAGUCAAGGACUCUCAUCAUCUAUUUCAUCUUUCAUCUCUCAUCAUCUAUAUCUUCUUUUAUCUACCCAUCUCUACCCAAUAUAUUUAUAGGUAUAAAAUACAUAUACAAUUUAAAUCAAGUAAAAAAUGUAUAAAUUGUUCAUCUAGCAUUGAUAUAGAUAAUAGGCACAUAUAGCAUGUAAUUAUCUUAAAUACUUUAUAUCUAUGUGUAAGAUGAAAGUAACUAUGCAUUCACUUAUUUAAAGUGGAUGACUAGAAAGCUGAACAACGCUUCACUUCAGCACUUGGCUUUUCCUUUGAUAUGACUUGGGUCUAAUUAUCUCUAAGUCUUAGUUUAUUAUCUCUCAUGACUAAUUAAUAGUCUAUAUUUCUCAAUAAUCCCAAUGUCUACUAAUCUAUACCUGAUAAGAGACAACUAGGUAGGAUCAUAUUGGAGGUAGGGUUUAUUUGGUAUACAAAGUAUAUUGUUUGGAAGUGCCAAUUUAAACACCUCAUUAAAUCCAACCUCGACAUUAUCCUCGUAAGUAGAUCAAUCAGUAAUAUGAAGUUGAAACACUAAGGAUGAGCUAUAGAACCGGAAAACCGGACCGGCACUGGAUUCAGACUAAAACCGAAACCAGUAUAACUGGAAAUAUCUUAGACAACCCGGUUCUCGGUUCUAAAAAUUGGCCUUGUCCGGGUUCCGGGUAUUCCGGGUAUGGGUCCAAUGGUUACGGGUCCAACGGGUUUGAGAACCGCAUUAAAAAAAACAAAACCGAAUUAAAUGCACCAGACCCGGUUUAUUAGGCCCUGAACCAGAAUUUGAACGGGUAAUAAAAAAAGACGUUGUUGUAUUGGGGAUUUCGAUCAUUAAUCCAGGUUGGGUUUGACGUUGAACAAACGAAGGGUUGCUGUGAUCGGCAUCGACUAUUAGGGCUAAUCAAUAUCGUUUUUCUUGUGUGAUUAGUCAGUAUCGUUUUUCAUGUGUGAUCGACGACAAGAGCAAGACUUCUAGAGGGACGUCAAGUAAAGCAUUAGCAUCUUAUUCUUCUCUCUGUGAUAGAAAUUAAAUAAGCAUGCAAAGAAUUGUAAGAAAAACCUAGACAAUUUGAAAAACCAACAAACAUUACAAUUUAAAAAAGAACCAACCAGGGAGGGUAGUGUUAGCACUUGGAAACAUGACGAUAAACGAAUUAAAAAGGUUGUGUUUAAUUUGUUUGUAGUUGGUGGUCUACCUUUUAAGUUUGUAGAAAAUGAGGCCUCUAUUGAAUACACAAACACACUAAACGGGAAGGUGGUUAUACCUAGUCGAACAACAAUUUCAAAAAAUGUGUCACUUUAUUAUCUAGAAGAAAGAAAUAAGUUGGUAACAUUCUUAUGUAAUCCCCUUAACACGGUUCAUUUGACCACCGAUUUUUGGACAAGUACGAGUAAAAGGGUGCAUUAUAUUGUCAUUACCGCACACUUUAUUGAUAAUAAUUGGGAGAUGCACAAACGGAUAAUCAACUCUAAAGAAUUAGAUAGUCAACGGGGGGAAGAUAUCGGAAAAGAAGUGUUGAAAUGUAUUCAAGGGUGGGGUAUUAAGAAUUUCAUGACCUGCAUGUUUGAUAAUGCAAGUUCUAAUGACAAAGCAAUAGAGUUUCUGAAAAACAAAUUACCAAACUUGUACAAUGAAGGAAAACACUUUCACAUUAGGUGUACGGCACACAUUAUCAAUCUAAUUGUGAGAGAUGGGAUGAAUAAAAAUGACGAGAGUGUUAAAUGUUUGCAAGAUGCCGUAAGAUAUAUUAGAAAGUCCACACAACAGAUUGCUCUAUUUAAAAAGUGCAUGAAAGGCGUCGUGGUGGAAUCAACCAAAUUUUUGUGCAACGAUUGUCCCACUCGUUGGAACUCAACCUAUGAAUUAUUGAAGAUCACAAUGGAUUUAGAAAAAGCUUUCUACGAGUAUGAAAUGGAAGGUAAUUUUUUUUAUUUUCUACAUUGUCGCUGAUUUUUUAGCCCUAUUUAAACUGUCAUAUCUGCUUCAUUAGGAGUCUGUUUGGGCUGAUUUUUUUUUAAAUUGUAGUUCACUGGUUGGCAAUAGUAAUAGACUCUUGAAACACCUCAUUUACAUAUGUAUUGAGUCACUUACAACCCUCCAAAAAUGAUAUAUCAAAUCUGUUUUGAAUCUAUCACAACAUUAUUGUUGAAUUUUUAGUUAUCUUUAAACUGUCAUAUCUACUUCGUCAUGAGUCCGUUCGGGUUGAUUUUUUUUUAAAUUGUAGUUCACUGGUUGAUAAUAGUUAUAGACUUACAGUCCUCCAAAAAUGAUAUAUCAAAUCCGUUUUGAAUAUGUCACAACAUUAUUGCUGAAUUUUUAGUUACCCUUAAACUCUCAAAUCUACUAAAUUAUGAGUCCAUUCGGGCUGAUUUUUUUGAAUUGUAGUUCACUGUUUGACAAUAGCUAUAGACUCCGAAAACACCUUAUUUGCAUAUGUUCGGAGUCAUUUAUAGCCCACCAAAAAUGAUAUAUUAAAGCUUUUUUAUAACAUUUUUUUGAUAGAUCGUUCCUUUGCACGAGAUAUGGCUACCCCCGGGAGUGAAGAUUUUGUAACUUAUCGAGCAAUGGUCUCAUUUCUUGAGAAGUUCAGGUUCAAAACAGAAUUGGUGUCAACGAGUUCAAAACCAUUGGCAAAUCGGUUUUUUGGAGAAGUAUGUGUCAUUUACAAGCAUAUACGAGUUUGGUCGAAAAACAAACGAUUUUCUUCAAUUGGGAAUGAUAUGAUAGAUAAAUAUGAGAAGUAUUGGGGAGAUUUUGAAAUUUUGAAUGACUACAUGUACUUUGCGACUAUCUUGGAUCUGCGAAUGAAGACAGAAUUUCUUAGACAUGCUUUUGAAACAUUGAUCAAGUACAAGAUGCCGGAAAAUAAACCCCUUUCCGAAUUAGAUAUUACUGUAAAGGCUAUGUCUUUAACAAGGAUAUUGAAACAAGAUUUGAGAACUUUUUUAAUGGUUACAAUACCAACUCUAAUGUACCAUAUGAAACAGGUGGUAGUCAAGAUGCCAAACAUAUUGAUGAUGAUGACGACUUUGUGGGUGACUAAUUUGUUCAAUCGGCGAACUCAUCGGAUUCAAAGGAAACAGAAUUAACACGAUACUUGAACGAAGGAAAAACCCAAGAUGUUAAAGACUUUGAUAUACUGGUUUGGUGAAAAAUAAUGCAUCUUGUUACCCAAUUCUCUCAUAGAUGGCAAAAGGUAUAAUUUUAAUUACUUAUAUUUUUUAUUAUAAUGUAGUAUAAUUUAACAUUAUAUGUUUAUGUUAUUAGAUAUUUUGGGCAUUCAAAUAUCCACCGUGGCAUCCGAAUCCGCUUUUAGUACAAGCAGUCGCAUAACUGAUAGUUACCGAGCAAACUUGUCCACACCUAUAAUAGAAGCUUUGGCUUGCACCCAAGAUUGGGUAAGGAAAUCAAAGAAGCCGAUUGUUGAAAACAUCGAAGACAUAUUUAAAGAUGAUGACAUAGCUAAAGGAUACAAACAAAUUCAUUUUAUUAUCUAAUAACAAAACAUUGGUUAUAUGCUCACUUUCAUCACUUUCACAUUAAUUUUUUUUCUGGUAUGUAUUAGAGUUGGAAGACACCAUACGCACCCAAAACGGAAAUGGAAAAAGGCCGAUAGAUAUUAACGAGUAGUUAUAUUCUUUUUAUUUUUUUUUGUUGAUAAAUGAUUAUUGGUUUGUAAGUGUUUGGUUGGGUUGAUUAAUGUUUUUGAACUUGAAUCAAAUGGUGGUAAAGUGAUGACGUUACUGUUUGGAAUAUUUGAAUUUAUGUGGAUAAGAAGAUGCAUUUGUUUGGUUAAUGAAGAUUUAUACUAAAUUGAUUGCUUUCAUUUUAUAUGUUAGUAUUCUCUAUCAACGAUAUAACAUCCCAAUUUUCAAGACCAAAAAUUUCAUUUUGAUAUAACGAUUUAGAAAAAAAACAUUUAUAAGGAACAUCGUCGAGUCACAUCAUUUCAUAAAACCAUAGUCACAUGUCUCAAAACCAUAUCAUAAAAUAGUAAGAAUGUCAGAGUACAAUCCCAAGAAUCUCAUAAUGUGGAAAUCAUGUGUGUGUGUGAUGCGCUACUACCGUGUCGACUCCUUCCCCUUCGAUGAAGAGGUACCUGAAAACUAUAAACACAAAGCUUAGUGAGUUCCCCCAUCAUACCAUAUACCACAUAACUAACAUACUGUCGGACGAUUCUAGGGUGCCCGACCUACCCUGUCUGGCAUUUCUGGAGUGCCGGCCUACCAUGUCUGGCAAAUUCUGGAGUGCCGACCUACCCUGUUUGGCAAUUAUGGGGCGCCGACCUACCCUCCGGUUUAUCUUAUCCAUCUACUACUACCACAUAAUAACAUAACAUAAACAUGCUGUCAGACAUAUCUAGGGUGCCCGACCUACCAGUCGGUCCUUACGACCGUAACACGGUGACUAUUCCCCCUACUACUUACUAUUACAUAACAUCAUAUCAUGCUAGCACAUAAUCAUAACAUAUAGCAACAUACCAGAUAAUUAUCACGAAGACAAUUAUCUCUACUAUGACUCUUACUAGUGGGCUGGCCUUGGUGCCUUAGAUCCAGUUCUACUGGAAGGUAACUCACAUCAAUGUCGUGUUGUAACUAAACUGUCCUCGUUGUUAGGGUCAACUCCUCUCAAACUCCGACACAUAACAACCAUCCUUAAUUACCAUUUCAUACUCGUAACCCUUUCAAGGUUCAACUCAAGUCAAAGUCAAAGUCAAAGUCAAGGUCAAGGUCAAGGUCAACCCCCUGGUCAAAGUCAACAUCUGGUUGACUCAACUCGUCGCGUUGGUCCACCAACUCGUCGAGUUCCCUCCUACAUAGUCGGGACUUUUACUCUUGUCUCGUCGAGUUCUUCUUCAAACAGAGUCGGGACCUUUUGCUCAUGACUCGCCGAGUUCAUCCUUGAACUCGUCGAUUCCUGCUUCAUAUCAGUUGGGACAUUUGUCUUGAACUCGCCGAGUUCAUCCUUGAACUCGUUGAGUUCUUUGAUCUUCAAGUCGAUAUUCACGUCCAUCUUGUUGAGUCCUCUUCUAGACUCAACCAGAUUUCUCAGAAACUAGAAAAGGUUGGGGAACCAUGACCCGACUCGCCGAGUCCAAUGAACGACUCGCCGAGUCUCCCAAAGUCCAAGUCCAUACAGUCGAUUUUAGUUGGGCUUAUAGCAUCCAAACCAUAGAUCUGGCCUCCUAGGGUCGAUAUAACAUGUAAAGUUACAAUCUUUAUGUGCAGGCAUGGGUGUUAUGAAGCUAAAACACCAAAACUAAGCCAUAAAGGAGUUCUAAUGCAUGGGAUAGGGCCAUUGCUUAAUAAAGGUGGCAACGUUAAGCUUCCUGAGCUCAAAAGUUCCCAGAUCUGAAGUCAUUACUCUAUUAUGCACUCAAAUCCCGAGAGCGACUUAGAAAUGGCCCAAAAUGACAAUAUGCAAGCCCUAAAGAAGAUCUAAGUGAUGGAAAUCCAAGUUAUAAGCUUUAUACCUCAACCACGCUAGAAAUGCAACCUAAGCUCUAGAUCUAUUGCCCUCCUCUUGAAUCUCCAAGCGUUUCCUUCUUUCUCCAAGCUUCAAAUCACUAAAAUGGCACAAAUAAGCUCAAGAACACUCACAAGCUGAUUAGGGUUGCAAGAAUAAGGUCUGAGGGUGAUGGACGCUGGAGUGGAGGCCAUAUAAGGUGUUUAAAUUGGGUGCAAACCCUAAAAUUUAGGGUUUCAUUCAGAUAGAUCUACUCGUCGAUUUGGGGCUUCAGACUCGUCGAGUAGACUCNNNNNNNNNNNCCCCCCGUCCAAGAUUCGCCCUUACUCGAUGAGUUUGGGGUCUCAAUUUGUCGAGUCCCAAUAUAAAAAAAAUGCAAAACUCAUUUAAAAUAUGUACCGAGAACCGGGCGUUACAACCAAGCAUUCAUUCAAAUUAAAAUUCUUAAACUAAAAAAAAUACAUGACUUUCUUCUAUGAGAGUACCUAGUCUAACAUUAAAAACAAUUCAAAUCAAAAUUCUUAAACAGUUAAGAGCAAAACAGUACAUGCUCCUUGUCCUUGACCAUCUUAUCUAGUUAACACAUCUUCAAUCUCUGUACAUAAAACAAAAAUAAACAUAUUUAGUAUUGAAAAAAAUGUUACCAAAUAAAUAAAAACACAUUAUUUGGAUUUUUGGCACACAUACGACAAUUUUUAGUAACACUACUUGUACUGUGUCUCGAUGGAUCGGCCUAAAGUAUAGCGAAGCAAUACUUACACUUUGCUUGUCUUCGUUUAACCCCAUCAUCUUCUACUACCCACAACAUAUAUGUUUGCAUUUCUACUUAAAUAAGAUCUUAUAUCAUCCAAAUAGCAAUCAUUAUCAUGUAUUCUCCCCCAAAAUAUAAAAGCUUUAAAAAAGGGACCGUAAGCACUCACCUUAAUGCAUGAUUUGUGAACUAGAGUCGAGAGUGCAGUUAUCUUUGAGAAGCACUUUGAGAAAACACAAUCUAGGAAUGAUCUAAACCGGGGCUGUUUUGGACUUGAUUUAAACCCACAAAACAAAACCAAAACUAUAUUAUUGAACUAUAAAAACACCACAAAAUAUUGCAACCCAAGGGACGACACUAAAGGUGGUGGAAUGGUGGGCUAAUGGUGGUGGUUUACCGGCGGUUGAAGGGGCUGCUCUGGUGGGGAGUUCUAGGCCGAGAAAGAAAGAAAUGGAGAAGGAGAGGUGAAGGCUGAUGAAUUGUGAGGAAAUGGGAAGCUAAGGGCUUCCUUUUAUAGCAUAAGUGAGCUCUCACAUGUCCAUGCAUACCAUGCUUUGUUAGAAAGUCAAACACUUAAUGUGGCCAUACUUUGUCCUUUAGAAGAAGAGUAAACACAAGAUGUUAAGGUGGAAGAAUAGAGGGGGGAAGGCUACUCACGUGGGCAAGGAGGGUGGGGUGCCCAUGGCUGAUUUUUAUCACCUCUUGCAAGGAUGGUGGGCCAUGAUGAUGUCACACAUAGCAAAAAGUCCCAAAAUUGCUUCUAGAUUUGCAUGCCAAAAUCUCGACACCUAAUAUUUUUUUUUAAAGUGGCUUAUGAUAUAGUAGAGUUCAAGGAUUCCAAAAACCCGAACGGAUUAACGAGUUGUAGAACUUCGGGAAAUCGUGUUUAAAGUUUCGCAUCUAAAUGACCCAAAACGCUCGAUUUUUCGACUUUUGCAAAUAUUUUCACUAAAAAUAUUUCGAGUAUAAAAUUAAAUAUUAGACCAUAGUUUGAGUCCAAUAACGCUCUCAGAAUUUCCAUAUGAUGUGUGCAAGUGCCUCAAGGAAUAGAAAUGAUUAUAGCGGUUUAAAGAAAGUUAGUGUUAUACUGGUUUGGUUUCGUAUAACAGUCGUAUCUUCUACAUACAAACUCCAUUUUGGGUGUUCUUUAUAUUUUCAUAAAUAGGUGAACAUGUACUAUGAGACUAGAGUUUUUGCUUCGUUCACAACUGCUUAAUACGAAAUUUUAGUUUUUCAAACCUAUUAACUAGGGUUGCUGUUUGAGCUGUUUGAUUCGUUUGUGAUUUUACACAUUUGGAAGUAAGAUGCCAUGGUAUCUUAUAAUAGUUGUGAUGACACUAUAUAUUAUUCAAAAUAUGCAUUAAAGCUAAUAGGUCAGAUUACAAAGAGGUACACGGUGAACUGACUGUCUACAGUUUUAGACCUAAAUUUUGGGAUGUCAUACUAAGAUUGAUAGACUACAUAAUUCUAUUGAUAUGAUUGAAUCUAAAGAACAAAUGACCCACAAUUUUCGUCAUCCUUGGUCUAAAGCACCUGGUCUUGAAAGCGAGUCUCCGAAACCUAUUUCUAAUACCCUGAAAGAACUUUAAAAUUUGACAUUUAUGGGAGACAUUUUGAACCAUACUUAUUCGGAUAUUGUUGCCUUACCAUUGUCAUCCCUUUAAGAGACUUCAAACAAAUAUCAGUCACUAAUUUCUGACUUCAAACCAAUCACUAUUACAUGUCAUGAUCCCAUGCAACUUCCACCUCUAAUAUCCAUUGGCCCGAAUUAGUCUUCAAAAAUUCCACAUGGCACUGGGGGUACUAGAGUAUAUCUUCCCAACUUUGGUCCUCUAAAAAAUUGCGUUGUUGAGGAAAUCAUUCAUGAGACAUGCGGACAUGACUCGGAUCAACCUAACUUAUUUCGGGUGUCCAUUGAUAGUGAUGUUGAUAAAUAAAUCAGACGUGAUGACGACUCUUCGUCCAUCAGACGUGAUGACGACUCUUCAUCCAUUUCGUCUAUUCCACACUCUAGAGUUGUCUCAAAGUCCACAUUAGCUCGAAUUAAGCCAUGUUUCAACAAUCCAUUUGUAGGAAAAUAUUCUAAGUCAUCAUAUGACUGUAGGAAGAAGCCCUGGUUAAACAAGAAGGAUAAUGUUCAUAUGGAGAUUGGGGCUCAAAAGGCUCUUGAACAAAGAAACUAUGUCUAAACAAAGCUCUAGGUUCCUUGAGAAAUCAGAUAAGAAAGUGUCACAAAAAGUAGUUAGUUCCGCUACGAGGAAUCACAAUUCAUUCAUGCCGGUUAAAAUAAUUAAUAGACCAUAUAUUCCUGUUAGCUCGAAUAUUCCUACUUCUACAAAGAAACAUUCUGCAAAUAUGUUAAUAUUGACUCAUCACCAAAGAAUAGUAAGGGGUUGUUUGUUUACCUCUUAAUGCCUCUUAAAAACAGAGAUAUCUGAAUUAUUUCCAUUAAGAGUGUUUUGCAGCAUCUAAUUGUUUGCCUCUUAAUUUUUCAAAAGGCUCUUAAUAUUUCAGAUGUGAGUAUGCAUUUGAAAAGAAAAAAGAGGCUCGCGUAUUUCACUUUUCUUAACCUAUCCUCUUCAGUCUUCACCCUCUUCUCUUUUUCUUGCAGCCAUAAAAAAUACCCGCAUCCAUCCUCUCUGUUGCACUUCACAGAGGACCAUUGUCUGCCGUUGCACGCACCACCUCUGUCGCAGGUCAUCGUCGACCCCACCGCCCCCUUCCUCCCACUCCGUUCUGCCUUCCUCUGGCUAGAGACGCUGCCUUUCUUCCCCUCGCACACCGACCGCCGCUGCCUACUCCUUCCCCUCAAUCACAGUGAAAUUUUUACUGUUUCUUUUACAAAAACAUGGAACCAGUUUUAACAAAUAACAAUUUCUGAUGAUUUCGUUUAUUCAUAUUGUUUCUUAAUUCUUAUGUAAAUUUCUAGGUAGAAAACAUGAGAUUGCAAGGUUCCCAAAUUAUAAAAAUGUUGUUUAUUAUUUCCAUUGUCAAAAGAUUAAAGGAUACAACCUCUAAAGUGUUUUUUAUAAAUGUGCUUAGUUUUCACAUAAUUGUUUGAAGGUACUUGGUGUGUUGAUUGUGUAUGCAGGACUAUUGGAUUUUGUACAAUGAAUUCUGCACAUGAGGUGUUCGAUGGAAUGCUCGAGAGAAGUUAUGUAUGUUAUGGUGAAAAAAUUAUAACUAUACAUAUGGAUAUGAUUUGUGUGUGUGCUUUGAUAUUAAUUUUAGUUUCAAUUGACAAAAAAUUGCUUAUAUAUAUUAUUAGAUUUCGAAACAUGUCAAUUUUAUAUGUAUUUCAAGUUGUUUUUGUUAGGAAGGUAAAAUGGUUAUUUUUAUCAUUUGACACAGAAAUUCAGAUGUUCCAAACAAACAACAUUUUAUAAAUUCAGACCCUCUUAGAAAUUCAGAUCUCUUAAAAAUUCAGAUCCUCCCAAAGAGCCCCUAAACUCUCUUCGAAAAGUGUCCUCUCCAGUAUUUACUGCCACCUCAAAUGGAAAAAAAUUUAAGCAAAAAAAAAUCUCCAAAUGUGCCUACAAGAGAUGUGAAUAAAGGAAAAGAUACUCAUAACUUUUAUGUUCGGAACCCCACAAAAGGUCCAAAUCUGAAAUGUGAAUGGAAGGCUAAAGGGAAUGGAAAUUCAACCGAGCAAUUUGCCAUUCUGCAUACUCAAAAUCAAAAACGACUUGGUACAAUUUCAAGCCAUUCUAUAAUCCAAAUCAUGAAUUCAGACCACUAAACCUUUCAAUUUGAUUUCUUACAGCUUUGUUUUUGUGUCGUGAUUAUGUUGCUUAAUAGUGUUUCUUUUCCCAUGAAUUCUGCAAACGAAUUUGGUUUCUAAUGAAAUUGCCACUCUUCUAAUGAUAAGAACAUUGGUAUGGACCCUUUGAAUAUGGAGCAGAAUUUUGUACAUGAUGAUGUUCCCCAUUAACUUUACUUAAAACGAGCACAUACAAUGUUAUCAAUCUUUUGAUUGAAAAGACAGAAGAUGUCUAUCAAUGGAGUUAACUAAAGCAUUUUAUAUAUUUUUUUUCUUAUUGGAAAUCUUGUGUUUACUAAUCUUAAAAGUUCAUACUUUGUUAGAAUAUGAUAUUUUUUUAUCCUUGUAGUUUCUCAAUGUUUGUUGCCAUUAAUUACACAUUGAUGUUUGACUUUGACUGCUACAAUAUAGAAUGUAGAAUGUUGUUGCUUUUUCUGAAGUUGUCAAAGUUUGUUGUCAUUUAUGGAGGUUUGGUGUUUGGAUGCCUCCUGCUUCUAAUUCAUAUAGAUAUCUCAACAUUCAUUGGCUUCUGAAACAUAGUAGACCUAUUCAAGACUCAAACCUCAUACGGAAGUAAAGGAGAAAAUCACAAAAGUUGGUGGGCUGAAUUUUGACCUUCAAUGUCAAAUAUGUUGUUUUUUAACUUUGAAAUCUUUAAGAAAUACUAAAAGAACUAAUCAAACAGGAAGGUGAGAGAUAUUAUAGACACAAUUCAAACAAGUGAAAACCUCAAGUUUCUCUGAUAAAGAUUCAAUUUCAUAAACUAUCAUCUUAGCCAUCUCUUCAUCUAUGUCAACAUUUUUUUGACAAAACUGACAAAAACAAGGUAACCACUUAUGAUCUUAGCCAUCUCUUCAUAAACAAUCCUUGAAUCCUUUGUAUGUUGCUACAACCUAGUAGUUCAAACUUCAAACUUGAAAGCAUGUGAAUCUUAUUGUUCAUGAUUAACAACAAUUGCAAUAAAUAGCAAACUACUUACAUUUAUUUGUUUACCUUCAAUAAUGAUUAACAUUCUCUACAAACAACUAUUUUUCUCUAGUCCUCUUGUUCCAAGUUCAUCGUAUGGAAUCUGCAAGAUCACUCCCACUACAUACACUAACAAAACUAACCCAUGAAUGUACAUAUGAACAUAACUUUCCAUGCAGAUCAAUCGUAAAAGCAAACGAGUUUUGUACCAUAAUUCAAGAUGUUAACAACUUUUGAAAAGCAGUGAAGUAUGUAAAACUCAUGGAAGUUUUGUGUAGGCUAAAAAUCAAUGGACAGAUAGGUACUUUUAAAUUUUAAACUUUUCUAAAAGGGAAAUAUUGUAACUUUAUGAAAAGUGUUGUAGUAUUUAAACAUCUUAUACUUUUUUUUUGCUUGUUGAUCAACUCAUCAAGUUCACGGAGAGCAAGGAACAAGCAUGAAAGAAAACAAAGAGUCAAUUUUGAUGAGUUGAUAGGAUGCUCAAUUUUUUGGCACAUUGGAUCUUAAUUUAGUUUUAGUUGUAGUUUAAUUUUGGGUUUUGGUUGAUUUGAGUGAGGUAUUUUUGGUUUAGAUGAUGAAGGAGAAAAAGACGAGGACAAUUUAGUCAUUUCACUUGGACUUCACGGACAUUUUGCAACACCAUCAGCAGUUGGUACAAACCUUACAACAAAACUAUACUUUUUUGACCACUUGUGCAACAAAUGAAAUAUCUAGAUGAAAACCAUAACUUUUGAAAUAUCAAAAGGACGAAAUACUAUUGUCUGUCCCCUGGGGUAUCCAAAAAAUAUCAUUUUCCAGGUAAAUACUCUGCAACAUGAAAUUGCAAUAAAUAUAAUAUGUGGGUCAGGGUGAUAGAAGUUGGAGGGCAAAAAAGACAUUUACAUGUCACUGGUUUUUGAUAGUCAUGUACUCUGAUGUUAACUAAGACAACAUACUGCCUCUCCUCUCUGUGUAUGUUGAAUCAUAUGAAUAAGAUCCCAUGAAAAAUGGCCAAACCUAGAAUAACAUGUCAUUAACAGAUUUAGUUAAAACUAGCCAAAAGGGUAAAUGUGUAAAUUGUACCAAAAUAUAAAAGCCUCUUUUUCGCAAGUGUUCCACUCCCUCAUCGAAUAUUCACUUUUUUAAUGCAUCUGGAUCCGUGACUCAGCCUUCAUAAUCCAAAAAGCUUGACCUCUGAAUAACAAAAGAGCAACUUGCUUAUUCUGUUUACAUUGAAUAUAGACAAUGCACUAUUUUUUUACCAAAAAGAGCAGCGUACUUACAUUUCUUUACCAAUAGAAGCAAUGUAUUUAUACUUUGUUCUUUAUCCAUAAUAGCAGCAUACUUAUAUACUUUUACCUGUAAUAGCAACAUAUUUUUAUUUCCCUACUAAAAUGAGCAAAAUGUACUUUAUUUGUUACAUAUUGCUAACUAUUGGUAAAGAGAUCCAAGUAUGUUGCCCGUUUUUAUAAGUUUAACAUCUAGGUGACGACCCAGGUACCAAACAUGUUAUGAAAACUAUGACAAUAACACUUUAAGAAAAUACAAGACAUAGAGGAUCAAAAUUAAAAAAAUCAGCUACACUCAUGGGCCAAAAUUUAAAUAUUACUAAAAUAAGCUAGAUAAAUCACUCUUAUAUUGUUAUUUAAAUACUGUUACAAAAUCAUUGAUAUUCAGUAAUGAAAAAUAUCCUUUAAGUACUAAUAGUAGAAUAAAAUUAUGUAUUAAAGUAUUAACAUUUGAUCCAGUAACAAAAAUUGCCACCAGAAAGAAUGAGAUGAAAUCCAUAAUUUCUUAACAUUAUUGGUUUGGCUAAAAUAAAUAGUAACAACAAUAAGUUGCUUGUUCAAGCUUCACAGCUGAAUGAAGAGGCUCUUGCAAAAAAAAAAUGAAGUUUUUUAACAGUAUUCUCAUAUAUAAUAUGUUUAUUCACAAAAGGGAAUUGAUUAUUACCUCAUCAGAGAUACAAAAGUAAACACCAGCACCCUCUUAACAUCGUAUUAAGUGUGUGUUAAUAUGUUAGAUUUUGAAUGUAUAAUGUCAUAAGGAAAAGUAUCAUCCUCCUUAAUAAAUGAAGGUUUUUUGACACUUGUCAUUCUCUCAUGAGAUUUGACACGUAUCAUAUAUAUGAUAUUAAAUUGUAAUAAAUACGUUUCUUUCUUUCUUAUUUUAAAGUUGUAUAUUAAAAAAUAUUUUAUUUUUAUACUUUAAGUUUAAUCAUUUUUUAAAUCAACCCGUAUAAUAUACGGUCUCACACCUAGUGUUAUAUUUAAAAGUACAAUCUUAAAAGUAAAUAAGUGAAAGAUCUAUCCAAUUAUUGCACAGUUAGCUUUUUUCUUAUUAGAAGAUUCUUGCUUAUUAGGAUAUUACACAAAUAAAAGAAAAUAAGUUGUUUAUUGCAUUUAGCACUAAAUAUAACUUAC
rnacentral:lncRNA from 1 species